GUCGGGUGUGAUGGCUCACGCCUGUAAUCCCAGCACUUUGGGAGGCCGAGGCGGGUGGAUCUCCUGAGGUCAGGAGUUCAAGACCAGCCUGGCCAACAUGGUGAAAUCCCGUCUCUU
rnacentral:SRP_RNA from 2 species